GAUGAACGCUGGCGGCGUGCCUAACACAUGCAAGUCGAGCGAACAGACGAGUAGCUUGCUCCUCUGACGUUAGCGGCGGAAGGGUGAGUAACAUGUGGAUAACCUACCUAUAAGACUGGGAUAACUUCGGGAAACCGGAGCUAAUAACGGAUAAUAUCUUGAACCGCAUGGUUCAAUAGUGACAGACGGUUUUGCUGUCACUUAUAGUUGGAUCCGCGCCGCAUUAGCUAGUUGGUAAGGUAACGGCUUACCAAGGCAACGAUGCGUAGCCGACCUGAGAGGGUGAUGGGCCACACUGGGACUGAGACACGAUCCAGAGUCCUACGUGAGGCAGCAGUAGGGAAUCUUCCGCAAUGGGCGAAAGCCUGACGGAGCAGCGCCGCGUGAGUGAUGAAAGGCUUCGGGUCGUAAAACUCUGUUAUGAGGGAAGAACAAAUGUGUAAGUAGCUAUGCACGUCGUGACGGUACCUGAUCAGAAAGCCACGGCUAACUACGUG
rnacentral:rRNA from 1 species